GAAGUGCAUGUCCUGAAGGCAGAACCACUUCAAAGAAGAGAGGAAGUCCUUUCGCUGCCUUCAGAGGAUGUCUUGGAAGCAGGAUGGCUAAAUUCAUACAACUUGUGUGACCCUGUUUCUGAGGAUGCGUUACAAUCAUCUGAGCCCACCGCGUUCCUCCACCCCAGUGCUGAGACUCCUUGGCGUCACAAGAGGCCUUGUAUGUUGAACCCAGUAGCUAGAGGAGAGUGCAUGAUCUACACAGAGAAAAGAAACAAAGAAGAGCCCAUUAAGCAACAUCUUUAACUCUGGAGAGGUAAACUCAGAAGGAAAAAUAAGGAGGAGACAGACAGAAAGGCCCCAUGUGCUCAUUAAAACAAACAAAAAGCUGCACUGCCAUUAGAGGAAGGUGAUGCUUCGUGACCCAGAAGAGCCUGAUUCCACAGAACUGGCGCCUUUGCCCUCUGCUGUGUUGGAAAGAGGCCUAAAGUCAACACAGUCCCACCCCAACCUGGGAAGAUAAUGGAGGAUCGAGGCUCAAAGGCCAGGGAAUUACAAGAACUUGGAGUCUGGCAUACAACGGAAUCAAAUGCAAGGGGAAGCUGACAUUUCAGUUGACCAAGUGAGAAAAACAUCUAA